CUCAGUUUCAAGUACUUACCACAAAACCAAAACCUCUUUUCAAGUCAAUAUCUCGGAUCCGUCCGUAACCCUUGAAGAAUCUUUCCACAUCUUUCUCCCUCGCUGCUGGAUUUAGUCUCCCAAUGAACACUCGACAGCCACUCAUGAUGCCCGGCUAGUGUUUCCUGUUAGGCAGUAAUUGAAUCGAGACAAUAUCAACGAUUGACACCAUGGGGGUGGGGGAUGUUCAGUCAAGCAGUCAAACACACCCCACGUUUACCAACUCUACUAACAAGGUCGCCAUGUACCUUUUAAGUCGUUCACGACCACCACAUUCAAAUUCCAAGUUAAAACUUAACUCUCCAAAAGACCCCCUUCCCAGGUUCCACACGGCAGCCCACCACAACGCCAGUAGCCACCUUUCUAGACUGCGCAGCCGCACACGCUGUCCCCGGAUCCCGGGGUUCCCCUCCCAUCUGCCGCAGUUAAGGCCAGGCCGAGAAAUGCGGGCGGAGCCGAGCCCGCCCUCUGCCAGGCCUGGUCCAAUAGCAGCCGGCCGCGCCCGCGUCGCGGCCUCCCCGCGCGUCACAAGCCGGAAUCUCGCGACGCCACCACCGAGCCUGCGCAGUGGGCGACGGGGCGCGUUCGCAGCACAAAAUGGCGACGGCCGAAGUAUGCGGCGGGGUGUGGGGGGGGGAGGAGCGUAGCGAGCCGAGCUGCGUGCCCCCGAGACACGGGCAAGCCCGGGGCCCAGAGCGCUGCGCCUGCGCCGGCCCACGGGGGGAAACCCUAAGCUGCCCUGGGCCAGGCCGGCUCCCCGGCGUCCGGGCCUCGAUGAGAGCCAUUAAGGGCGGCAGGGAGGGGCGCGCUGCUUCCCGACACAAACGCCCUCCCCACGCCCGCCCUUCCGCCUCGUGUCCCCCUCACGCAACACCCACAGGGAGACGUGCCCCAGCGCCCACCUCAAAUCAACUGCGCUCUCUGAGUCGCCGUCCUCCGCAAAGAGCGAAGCCCCGGCCACUUGCGACCCGAGCGGCCAUGAAGAAGCCUCGAUCCGAGAAGCCUUGCCCUCAAAGCGUGCCACUCACCUACCGGACAGGGUCUUUGGCGGCUGAGACCCCGGAGAGAUUGGACAUCCCCAUCUUGAAUCAGAGCAGCUGUUGACCAACCACAGAGCCUCUGGAAGUCAGGCCUAUCAGCAUUCCUGCAUGGAAGACUGAGGAAAGCUCCUCCCAGAAGCUGUAUCAGCAGUGAAUGAUGACUGGGAAGAGAGAUUGCUGGUACCAUAGGCUGCCUUUGACUCGCCCAAGGCCCUGAAACAUCACACAACAGAGCUGAAAUUUCCUAUUGCCUAAUGACAAUGUGGCCGGGACAUCAUCUCAGCAUAAUGCAUUCCUCACACGUUCGUGGCAAUGGUCUCCGGUGUAAACAAGCCUGCCCUUCAGCCGGCCAGAGAGAACACACAGUACUGUACAGUACAUAAUACUUGAUAACUAAAUGACUAUAUAUUUACUAUUAUUGUUUUAG
rnacentral:lncRNA from 1 species